GACGAACGCUGGCGGCGUGCUUAACACAUGCAAGUCGAACGGUGAAGCGCCUUCCUUUUUGGUGGGUGUGGAUGAGUGGCGAACGGGUGAGUAACACGUGAGUAACCUGCCCCCUUCUUCUGGAUAACCGCAUGAAAGUGUGGCUAAUACGGGAUAUUCUGGGUCUGUCGCAUGAUGGGUCUGGGAAAGAUAUUGUUUCGGUGGGGGAUGGGCUCGCGGCCUAUCAGCUUGUUGGUGGGGUGAUGGCCUACCAAGGCGGUGACGGGUAGCCGGCCUGAGAGGGUGGACGGUCACACUGGGACUGAGACACGGCCCAGACUCCUACGGGAGGCAGCAGUGGGGAAUAUUGCACAAUGGGCGCAAGCCUGAUGCAGCGACGCCGCGUGAGGGAUGGAGGCCUUCGGGUUGUGAACCUCCUUCGCCAGUGAAGCAGGCCUGCCUCGUUUGUGGGUGGGUUGACGGUAGCUGGAGAAGAAGCGCCGGCUAACUACGUG
rnacentral:rRNA from 1 species